UACGUAGGGGGCGAGCGUUGUCCGGAAUCAUUGGGCGUAAAGCGCGUGUAGGCGGCUCGGUAAGUCUGCUGUGAAAGUCCAGGGCUCAACCCUGGGAUGCCGGUGGAUACUGUCGAGCUCGAGUCCGGAAGAGGCGAGUGGAAUUCCUGGUGUAGCGGUGAAAUGCGCAGAUAUCAGGAGGAACACCGAUGGCGAAGGCAGCUCGCUGGGACGGUACUGACGCUGAGGCGCGAAAGCGUGGGGAGCAAACAGG
rnacentral:rRNA from 1 species